rnacentral:tRNA from 1 species
GCCUGGCUGGCUCAGUUGGAAAAGCAUGUGACUCUUGAUCUUGGGGUUGUGAGUUCGAGCCCCAUGUUGGGUA